rnacentral:rRNA from 1 species
UACGGAGGGUGCAAGCGUUGUCCGGAAUCACUGGGCGUAAAGGGCGCGUAGGCGGCUCGGUAAGUAGGGGGUGAAAUCCUGCGGCUCAACCGCAGGGCUGCCUUCUAAACUGUCGAGCUCGAGCACGGUAGAGGCAGAUGGAAUUCCCGGUGUAGCGGUGGAAUGCGUAGAGAUCGGGAAGACCACCAGUGGCGAAGGCGGCUUGCCAAUACGCGCUCGACGGUGAGGGAUGAAAGCUGGGGGAG